GUAGAUAUCAGUUAGAACACCAAUGGCGAAGGCAGUCACCUAUCUCAUAAUUGACGCUAAAGCACGAAAGUGUGGGUAGCAAACAGGAUUAGAUACCCUGGUAGUCCACACCCUAAACGAUGAGUACUAGUUAUUGGGCUUUUUAAAGUUCAGUGACUUAGCUAACGCAUUAAGUACUCCACCUGGGAAGUACGAUCGCAAGGUUGAAACUCAAAGGAAUUGACGGGGGCCCGCACAAGCAGUGGAGCAUGUGGUUUAAUUCGAUGCAACGCGAAGAAUCUUACCUAGGCUUGAAACGCAUAUUAAAUUCAGUGAAAGCUGUUGUCCCGCAAGGGGAAUAUGUACAGGUGCUGCAUGGCUGUCGUCAGCUCGUGCCGUGAGGUGUUGGGUUAAGUCCCGCAACGAGCGCAACCCUCGUCCUUAGUUGCCAUCAAGUAAUGUUGGGCACUCUAAGGAGACUGCCUACGCAAGUAGUGAGGAAGGUGGGGAUGAUGUCAAGUCCGCAUGGCCCUUACGCCUAGGGCCACACACGUGCUACAAUGGCCAUCACAAAGGGUCGCAAUACCGCAAGGUGGAGCCAAUCCCUAAAAAAUGGUCUCAGUUCGGAUUGGAGUCUGCAACUCGACUCCAUGAAGCUGGAAUUGCUAGUAAUCGCUGAUCAGAACACAGCGGUGAAUACGUUCCCGGGCCUUGUACACACCGCCCGUCAAGCCAUGGAAGCUGGAAGUACCCGAAGUCACCUUUAAUAAGUGCCGAAGGUAAAGCCAGUGACUGGGGCUAAGUCGUAACAAGGUAACC
rnacentral:rRNA from 1 species